rnacentral:lncRNA from 1 species
UCGUACUUGGUGACAAAGUUGCAAAUCGAUACCGUCUUUUAAUUGAAUAGCUACUAUAGGAUUUCCGAAUUCAUAAGUCGAAAAGAAAUGAACACACACAACAGUUAAGACAUGGUUAAAACCACACAAAAGCAAAAAUAAGUUCACAAAAUGCUGUAUCGAAAAAAUAAGACCAAACUAAACGAAUCCAAUCAAACAAGGAGAAGAUGCUCCGGAAGGUAAAAAGAUAUUGCUCCAUGAGUGCAACACCUAAAGACAUUAAUUUACAGUUCGAGUAUGAGGCGAAUCUCGUAUUGGACAAGAAGUUAUGUGUCUUAGAUGUUUGCGAAAACAAAUACC